CCAGACUCCUACGGGAGGCAGCAGUGGGGAAUAUUGCACAAUGGGGGGAACCUUGAUGCAGCAACGCCGCGUGGGUGAAGAAGUACUCCGGUAUGUAAAGCCCUGUCAGCAGGGAAGAAAAUGACGGUACCUGAGUAAGAAGCCCCGGCUAACUACGUGCCAGCAGCCGCGGUAAUACGUAGGGGGCAAGCGUUAUCCGGAUUUACUGGGUGUAAAGGGAGCGUAGACGGCGAUACAAGUCUGAAGUGAAAGCCCGGGGCUCAACCCCGGGACUGCUUUGGAAACUGUGUUGCUGGAGUGCUGGAGAGGCAAGCGGAAUUUCUAGUGUAGCGGUGAAAUGCGUAGAUAUUAGGAAGAACACCAGUGGCGAAGGCGGCUUGCUGGACAGUAACUGACGUUGAGGCUCGAAAGCGUGGGGAGCAAACAGGAUUAGAUACCCCUGUA
rnacentral:rRNA from 1 species